CCAUUCUAGGGUUUUUUUUUUUUUUACUGAAGGGAGCCAUUCUAGGAGGGUUUUCUACUGAAGGGGGCCAUUCUAGGAUGGUUUUCUACUGAAGGGGGCCGUUCUAAGAGGGUUUUCUACUUAAGGGGGCCAUUCUAGGAGGGUUUUCUACUGAAGGGGGUCAUUCUAGGAGGGUUUUCUACUGAGAGGAGCCAUUCUAGGAGGGUUUUCUACUGAAGGGGGCCAUUCUAGGAGGGUUUUCUACUGAGGGGGACCAUUCUAGGAGGGUUUUCUAUUGAAGGGGGGCCAUUCUAGGAGGGUUUUCUAUUGAAGGAGGCCAUUCUAGGAGUGUUUUCUAUUGAAGGGAACCAUUCUAGGAGGGUUUUCUAUUGAAGGAGGCCAUUCUAGGAGGUUUUCUACUGAAGGGAGCCAUUCUAGGAGGAUUUUGUAUUGAAGGGAGCCAUUCCAGGAGGGUUUUCUAUUGAGGGGAGCCAUUCUAGGAGGGUUUUGUAUUGAAGGGAGCCAUUCCAGGAGGGUUUUCUAUUGAGGGGAGCCAUUCUAGGAGGGUUUUCUAUUGAAGGAGGCCAUUCUAGGAGGUUUUCUACUGAAGGGAGCCAUUCUAGGAGGAUUUUGUAUUGAAGGGAACCAUUCUAGGAGGGUUUUCUAUUGAAGGAGGGCAUUCUAGGAGGGUUUUCUACUGAAGGAGGCCAUUCUAGAAGGGUUUUCUAUUGAGGGGGAGCCAUUCCAGUAGGGUUUUCUAUUGAGGGGAGCCAUUCUAGGAGGGUUUUCUAUUGAGGGGAGCCAUUCUAGGAGGGUUUUCUAUUGAAGGGAGCCACUCUAGGACGGUUUUCUACUGAAGGAGGCCAUUCAAGGAGGGUUUUCUAUUGAAGGGAGCCAUUCUAGGACGGUUUUCUACUGAAGGAGGCCAUUCUAGGAGGGUUUUCUAUUGAAGGGAGCCAUUCUAGGAGGGUUUUCUACUGAAGGGGGCCAUUCUAGGAGGGUUUUCUGCUGAAGGAAGCCAUUCUAGGAGGGUUUUCUAUUGAAGGGAGCCAUUCUAGGAUGGUUUUCUAUUGAAGGGAGCCAUUCUAGGAGGGUUUUCUACUGAAGGAGGCCAUUCUAGGAGGGUUUUCUAUUGAAGAGAGCCAUUCUAGGAGGGUUUUCUAUUGAAGGGAGCCAUUCUAGGAGGGUUUUCUAUUGAAGGGAGCCAUUCUAGGAGGGUGAGGUGCUUGUCACUUACUUGUGAGUGACACCUGUGAUGAACUGUGUUCAAAAGCAAAUUAUCAAAUGAGAAUAGAACCAUUUGGACUCUGUAGAGGAUAAGACUCUAAGGGUUCUAGGAGCAGGAUUGCUUCAACAUCUCAGACGUAUUUUCUUCUGGGAAGAGUCUUGCCAGAUAAGCAGAGUGAGAGAGUCUAUUAAACCGCACCUGUAUACAGCAUCUAGCAGGCAGCAGUGAGUGUACUGACAAUGCAUUUCCCAUUCUAACAAAAUGUGACUUUUGUGUGAGUUGCUCACCUGCGGGCGGUAUCACACACGCAUCAAAAUAAAAAUCAGUGGGGGUACUUAAAGCACCACAAAGUGGAGAGAGCAGAGGCUUUGCAGUGCACUGGUUCUGUGACUUUGCUCCAAGACUUGGUUUUCUCAUCUGUAAAAUGGAGACAAUAGCUCACAGAGAGGCUGGAGGUGAGGGUGACUGAGUGCUUUCUAGAUACUCAUCACCACUCCAGGGCUGGGAGGCUGGGCUGGCACAGACCCCUUGCUGUUGCUGAGCCCCCGCACCCGGGCCUGCCUAGGCCUCAGAUCCACUCACACAGAGGUCAGCGAAGGCUUCCAGAGGCGUCCAAAGGAAGCGUCUGUGCACCAGGUAGAUCCUUGUCCUGUGUGGGUCUCAUUUGGCCUGAGAAAAAGCCACAGCUCUUCACAGGGAGAGCCAGGGCCCCUCGCGUGGGAAGCUCGUGUGCUGUUAUUUUCCAGCGGAAUUCCAGGGUGGAAACACGGAGGCAGCUGACUAUCGAGAAUCCUAGGAGAAUGGGCUUUCUGUGUGACGUGUGCCUGGAAGGGCUUCCUGAGGCUUUAUUUCCCCUGCUCUUCCCUGCUCUGUCCCAGCAGAGCUGUUUUUGUAAAGCACACAUAGUAUUUGCCAUUCGUCACAUUUAUUAUGCCAGGGACUCUGUUCUCCAUCCCCCUCUGUGAGUUACGGCCCAUCCUAUGCUGUGUUUCCACACCCAUGUUGCAUUUGGCAGGAGCCUUCCUGACACCGAACCACCCUAAGCUGACAAAUGUCUAUAGCUCGGGGAGCACGAGAGGGAGCUCACGAGAUGGCAGACAGACCAGGAUGUGCACAGAACGUAACCCUGGGUUGUGGACUCAGCUUUCCUUCCUGAAGCGCCUGAAGCAAAUAGAGAAUAGUCGUAGUUGAGCCUGAGUUUCCAGAGGGGCAGAAAACCAACUUGCGUGUUUUCUUUUUAUUGUUGCUUUUUUGAAAAAAUGGUCCUAAUUUCAGCUUGUUUUUCCAACCAUGUGAAAGGAUGGACUGGACGCUGCGCAGAAGUGGAGAUCUUAGGUAAGAAGAAAGGAUAGGAAGGUUGAUGGGAAAUGAAUUGGCUGUCACUGUCCUUCCUGUCCAGAUGCAUUUGGAGGCUUUCUGGAGAAUGGUUUCCAAACUCAGUAUGUGCUGAAUGUUUCCCCAAUCUAUGGGGAAAUGAAAAGAAGACAGUGCAGUCAAUUUCUGAAAGUUAACCACUUUCAGCAUUAAUAGAACAAACGAAACCCUGGGAGCAGCCUUCAUGCUUGUUUGACGUUGCAGGGCGGCCUGUGAUUGAAGCCGUCAUGUAAGAUGAUGCUGUGAGAUGUGAGUGAGUGCACGUGCCUGUGAUGUGCGCUGGGUCUGUGAAGUGUGCACGUGCCUGUGACGUGUGCUGGGUCUGUGAGGUGUGAAUGUGUCUAUGAGGUGUGCAUGUGCCUAUGAAGUGUGCUGGGUCUGUGAGGUGUGCACGGGUCUGUGAGAUGUGCAUGGGUCUGUGAGGUGUGCACGUGCCUAUGAUGUGUGCACGUGCCUAUGAAGUGUGCUGGGUCUGUGAGGUGUGCACGGGUCUGUGAGGUGUGCAUGGGUCUGUGAGGUGUGCACGUGCCUAUAAUGUGUGCACGUGCCUAUGAAGUGUGCUGGGUCUGUGAGGUGUGCACGUGCCUAUGAAGUGUGCUGGGUCUGUGAGGUGUGAAUGUGUCUAUGAGGUGUGCAUGUGCCUAUGAAGUGUGCUGGGUCUGUGAGGUGUGCACGGGUCUGUGAGAUGUGCAUGGGUCUGUGAGGUGUGCACGUGCCUAUGAAGUGUGCUGGAUCUGUGAGGUGUGCACGGGUCUGUGAGGUGUGCAUGGGUCUGUGAGGUGUGCACGUGCCUAUGAAGUGUGCUGGAUCUGUGAGGUGUGCAUAGGUCUGUGACGUGCUGGGUCUGUGAGGUGUGUACGGGUCUGUGAGGUGUGCAUGGGUCUGUGACAUGUGCUGGGUCUGUGAGGUGUGCACGGGUCUGUGAGGUGUGCACGUGCCUAUGAAGUGUGCUGGGUCUGUGAUGUGUGCACAGGUCUGUGAGGUGUGCACGGGUCUGUGAGGUGUGCAUGGGUCUGUGAGGUGUGCACGUGCCUAUGAAGUGUGCUGGAUCUGUGAGGUGUGCAUAGGUCUGUGACGUGCUGGGUCUGUGAGGUGUGUACGGGUCUGUGAGGUGUGCAUGGGUCUGUGACAUGUGCUGGGUCUGUGAGGUGUGCACGUGCCUAUGAAGUGUGCUGGGUCUGUGAUGUGUGCACAGGUCUGUGAGGUGUGCACGGGUCUGUGAGGUGUGCAUGGGUCUGUGAGGUGUGCACGUGCCUGUGAUGUGUACUGUAUCUGUGAGGUGUGCACGGGUCUGUGAGGUGUGCAUGGGUCUGUGACAUGUGCUGGAUCUGUGAGGUGUGCAUGGGUCUGUGACGUGUGCUGGAUCUGUGAGGUGUGCACGGGUCUGUGACAUGUGCUGGAUCUGUGAGGUGUGCACGGGUCUGUGACAUGUGCUGGGUCUGUGAGGUGUGCACGGGUCUGUGACAUGUGCUGGGUCUGGGUCUGUGAUGUGUGCAUGUGCUUAUGGAGUAUGCUGGAUCUGUGAGGUGUGCAUGGGUCUGAGAGGUGUGCAUGGGUCUGUGACACGUGCUGGGUCUGUGGGGUGUGCAUGGGUCUGUGACAUGUGCUCGGUCUGUGAUGUGUGCACGUGCCUGUGAAGUGUGCUGGGUCUGUGAGGUGUGCAUAGGGUGGGUGAGGUGUGCACGUGCCUGUGAAGUGUGCAUGGGUCUUCAGUGUGUCUGCAUCUGGCAUGUGAGAGAUCCAGCAGUGCCAUACUGUCCCUGAAAUUAGGGGAAAACAAUGAGAAACCCAAACAUCUGCAAGUAACUGCUUUCCAUUUUCAGGGAAGAUUUAUAGCCUUUUUUUUUUUUUUUUU